rnacentral:rRNA from 1 species
CCUACGGGAGGCAGCAGUGGGGUAUAUUGCACAAUUGGGGAAACCCUGAUGCAGCUCCGCCGCGUGAGUGCGGAAGUAUUUCGGUAUGUAACGCUCUAUCAGCAUGGAAGAAAAUGACGGUACCUGACUAAGAAGCCCCGGCUAACUACGUUCCAGCAGCCGCGGUAAUACGUAGGGGGCAAGAGUUAUCCGGAUUUACUGGGUGUAAAGGGAGCGUAGACGGCUAAUCAAGUCAGAAGUGAACACCUAGGGAUCAACCUUGGGAUUGCUUUUGAAAAUUAGUAACUAGAGUGCAGGAGAGGUAAGCGGAAUUCCUAGUGUAGCGGUGAAAUGCGUAGAUAUUAGGAGGAACACCAGUGGCGAAGGCAGCUUGCUGCAGCGGAACUGACGCUGAUGCUCGAAAGCGCGGGUAUCGAACAGGAUUAGAUACCCCAGUAGUC